rnacentral:lncRNA from 1 species
AACUCCUGACCUCAAGUGAUCCGCCCACCUCGGCCUCCCAAAGUGCUGGGAUUACAGGCAUGAGCCACCGCUCCGGGCCCUUGCACAUAUUUUUUUAUGAACACACAGGCAGCAGCACUUUGAUUACAGUAACUUACAUGGAAGUUAUUUUAAAAUGGCUUUCCCCUUCUCUUUUUCAUGUAGGCUGCAUUUUUCAUCUGCAGCACGCUUUCUCUCAAGAAUCUCAAGCACACACAAGAAACCAGAGAGUAAAAUCACUGAGGCGUGAACACAUCCAGAGACCAAGGGCGUCACUGGCAGAAAAGCUUUUAGGCGGAUCCACGGCCCGAGAGCCACCCUGCCCAGAGACGCGGUUUCCUAGGAGCAGUUCACACGCGGCUCUGCAGCACCCACAAGCGGGGCCAGGGGCUGGUUUUCAUAGUUCACAGUCUGCAGGGAUCUUAACAAAAACAUGGCCGUGGUAAAAGUGCCUAGACCAGGCUUUCGUCACAACUCAUCAUGUUACUAGGUUAGGAUAAUAAAAAGGACUGUGAACUUCACAUCUGCCAUCUAUAAUAGAUUCUUAUUGUAGCAAUCUUGCACCAAGGGGAUUUCUUUAUUAACUCUGCCAAAUUUUCCAAAAUUACCAAAUGGAGAAAAGAGCUGGUCCCAUCUGUCACCAGGCACAACCAGGAAGUGUCAGAAGACUUUCAGAAGCACAUGCAGUUGCAGCUCCAGUGUUUCAACAGUUGCCCAUUUCCAAGGCCUCCUAAAUACGUAUGAGGCCUGUGGACAACUUUCUCCUCAGCUGUUACAGGAGGCUAAAAAACUUGCCCAACGUCACAUGGCUGGGAGUGGAAGAGCCAGGAAGAGUCCAGGAGGUAUGACUCCAGACCAGGCCUCUGGACCACUGCACUCCCACUACCUCUCCAGGCAGGGAUGCAGUCAUCAGUCAAUAGAAGCAGUCCACACAAACCAACCCU